rnacentral:rRNA from 1 species
AUUGAACGCUGGCGGCAGGCCUAACACAUGCAAGUCGAACGAGUGGCAGACGGGUGAGUAAUGUCUGGGAAACUGCCCGAUGGAGGGGGAUAACUACUGGAAACGGUAGCUAAUACCGCAUACUUUCAGAUGAGCCUCGGUCGGAUUAGCUAGUUGGUGGGGUAACAGCCUACCAAGGCGACGAUCCGUCACUGGUCUGAGAGGAUGAUACGUAAACCUGGAACUGAGACACGGGCCAGACGCCUACGGGAGGAAGCAGUGGGGAAUAUUGGAAAAUGGGCGAAAGCCUGAUCCAGCCAUGCCGCGUGUGUGAAGAAGGUCUUCGGAUUGUAAAGCACUUUUAGUUGGGAGGCGUUACCAACAGAAUAAGCACCGGCUAACUUCGUGACAGCAGCCGCGGUAAUAC